AUUGAACGCUGGCGGCAGGCCUAACACAUGCAAGUCGAACGAGUGGCGGACGGGUGAGUAAUGUCUGGGAAACUGCCUGAUGGAGGGGGAUAACUACUGGAAACGGUAGCUAAUACCGCAUACCAUCGGAUGUGCCCAGAGGGGAUUAGCUAGUAGGGGGGGUAAAGUCUCACCUAGGCGACGAUCCCUAGCUGGCCUGAGAGGAUGACCAGCCACACUGGGACGGAGCCCCGGUCCAGACGCCGACGUGAGGCAGCAGUGGGUAAUAUUGCACAAUGGGCGCAAGCCUGAUGCAGCCAUGCCGCGUGUAUGAAGAAGGCCUGCGGGUUGUAAAGUACUUUCAGCGGGGAGGCGUUACCCGCAGAAGAAGCACCGGCUAACUCCGUGCCAGCAGCCGCGGUAAUUC
rnacentral:rRNA from 1 species